GACGAACGCUGGCGGCGUGCUUAACACAUGCAAGUCGAACGGAAAGGCCCUGCUUGCAGGGUACUCGAGUGCGAACGGGUGAGUAACACGUGGGUGAUCUGCCCUGCACUUCGGGAUAAGCCUGGGAAACUGGGUCUAAUACCGGAUAGGAGCCAUUUUUAGUGUGAUGGUUGGAAAGUUUUUUCGGUGUAGGAUGAGCUCGCGGCCUAUCAGCUUGUUGGUGGGGUAAUGGCCUACCAAGGCGGCGACGGGUAGCCGGCCUGAGAGGGUGGACGGCCACAUUGGGACUGAGAUGCGGCCCAGACUCCUACGGGAGGCAGCAGUGGGGAAUAUUGCACAAUGGGCGCAAGCCUGAUGCAGCGACGCCGCGUGGGGGAUGACGGCCUUCGGGUUGUAAACUCCUUUCGCUAGGGACGAAGCUUUUUGUGACGGUACCUAGAUAAGAAGCACCGGCUAACUACGUG
rnacentral:rRNA from 1 species